rnacentral:rRNA from 1 species
GACGUAGGGCGCGAGCGUUGUCCGGAUUUAUUGGGCGUAAAGAGCUCGUAGGCGGCUUGUUGCGUCGACCGUGAAAACCCGGGGCUCAACUUCGGGCUUGCGGUCGAUACGGGCGGGCUAGAGUUCGGUAGGGGAGACUGGAAUUCCUGGUGUAGCGGUGAAAUGCGCAGAUAUCAGGAGGAACACCGGUGGCGAAGGCGGGUCUCUGGGCCGAUACUGACGCUGAGGAUCGAAAGCGUGGGGAGCGAACAGG